UGGCUAUAUUAUAUUUUAUUAUAUUAUAACACCAUGUGACUUAUGUACACAUACUUUACACAUGAUCAUUAAUGUCACUUCAAUAAUACACAAUAAACAACAGCAUAUGCUUAUUAGCCACUACACAAGCUAAUAAUUUAAACAACAUACUAUAAACAUUAAAACUAAAAUGACUGACUUUUCUGACUCAGAAAAAAUGCAUGAAAAUGGUCUUAAACUGAAUGCCACAUAUAUAUGCUAAUCUAUAUAUGAAUCUAUAUGAAACAAAAUGCUUCAUGACAGUGUAUAUACUAAAUGACUUGAAAAAUUGAGCAAAUAAAUUGUGAUUUGAAGAUCUUUUAAGAGUAAUAUGAAAAGAAUCUGCCCAAGUUCAAUGAAAGAUAGAGAAGGGAAAAAAGCUGCUAUAAAUAUAUAUCAACAUCAAGUGUGAUAUAUUUCUUCUCUGGGGGACAGCAAAAUUGAAAAAAAAUAAAACACCAGGCUUGACAAGCUUUUUCAAAUGUUAAAAACUUAACACACUAGAUCUAGAGUAGGGAAAUACCAUAUUGCAUGAGAUUUAAUGGUUGCAUCUAUUUCAUUUUAAGAUGAUAUGUAGACAAACUUAACCAUUCCUUUCAUGAUGUGAUGAGAUCAGACUUGAUCUCCCCCUUUUUUAUUGUAACAUCACCAUGUGAAAUUCAGAGAAAAUCAACAAAAAUUUAUGCCAUGAACCAACCACAAGAAAAUAAAUAACCAUCUCCAAGAAAAUGUCAAAUGGGCUUAGAAUUAGGGAAAUAACAGUACCAGGUAUAUGGUCAAAUGGGCUUAGAAUUAGGGAAAUAACGGUACCAGGUAUAUGGUCAAAUGGGCUUAGAAUUAGGGAAACCAGAUGCUCCGCAGGGCGUAGCUUUAUACGACCGCAGAGGUUGAACCCUGAACGGUUGGGGCAAGUAUGGACACAACAUUCAAGCUGGAUUCAGCUCUAAAUUUGGAUUGUGAUUAAAUAGUUGACACAGCAUAGGUUUCUGACACAGAAUGAAUGUGUUCUAAUGAACUUAAAAUUUUUGUUUUCUCUUAGAGCAAUUCACUAUGCUGUUGAAUAUUAAUCCUCUCAAAAAAA
rnacentral:lncRNA from 1 species